CGCCUCUUGAACAAAUAUAGGAGGUCCCGCCUGCCCAGUGAAUUAAUUUAACGGCCGCGGUAUCCUAACCGUGCAAAGGUAGCGUAAUCAUUUGUCCUUUAAAUGGGGACUAGUAUGAACGGCUCCACGAAGGUUUUACUGUCUCCUUUUUCUAAUCAGUGAAACUAAUCUUCCCGUGAAGAAGCGGGAAUAUUUACAUAAGACGAGAAGACCCUAUGAAGCUUUAAACAUAGCAAUAGAUAUUACUUAGCAAUAAUUUUAUGAACAAUCACACAAAGUAAUCCCUAUAAUUGCCAGUUUUCGGUUGGGGCGACCACGGAGCAAAAAAGAACCUCCGAGUAGAAUGGAAUUUAACCCUGAACAAAAAGCUUCGACUUUAUGUACCAAUAAAUUGACUUCUAUUGACCCAAUAUAUUGACCAACGAACCAAGUUACCCUAGGGAUAACAGCGCAAUCCACUUCAAGAGCCCCUAUCGACAAGUGGGCUUACGACCUCGAUGUUGGAUCAGGGUAUCCUGAUGGUGUAGCCGCUAUCAAUGGUUUGUUUGUUCAACAAUUAAAACC
rnacentral:rRNA from 1 species